GGCAAAGCAUGGGAGGAUGGGAAACCAGGACUGCCUGGAAAACCUGGCGAGGAUGGCGUGCCAGGAGAGGAUGGUCGAAAGGGAGAUAAAGGAGAGCCUGGGCCCACUGGAAGAGAUGGUCGAGAUGGGUUGAAAGGUGAUCAGGGCAUUGCAGGACUUAUUGGCCCUCAAGGUCCCAUUGGACCCCCUGGAGUUCCUGGAAAUGUCGGACCACCAGGACCUGUGGUGUAUGUUAAAGGGGAGCCAGCAACACCUAUUCCAGGCCCCCAGG